UACGAAGGGGGCUAGCGUUGCUCGGGAUCACUGGGCGUAAAGGGUGCGUAGGCGGGUUUUUAAGUCAGAGGUGAAAUCCUGGAGCUCAACUCCAGAACUGCCUUUGAUACUGAAAGUCUUGAGUAUGGGAGAGGUGAGUGGAACUGCGAGUGUAGAGGUGAAAUUCGUAGAUAUUCGCAAGAACACCAGUGGCGAAGGCGGCUCACUGGCCCAUAACUGACGCUGAGGCACGAAAGCGUGGGGAGCAAACAGA
rnacentral:rRNA from 1 species